CCAAAGAGGUUAGUAAUUGAAAAAUUUGAUCACUAUCCGUGGGCAUACUUGAAUUUGAUUGGAAUUGUUGUAGGGGAAGCUGUGGUGGCUGCAUAGAUGUUAAAUAAAACUCCUUAGAUUGCUGCCAAUAUCCAUCUUGUUGAGCCUCCUUGGCUUGAUUUUGUGAGCCCUGCACCAAAGAAUUUAUUUCAUAAAAAAUUCGAUCAUAAUCUAUUGACGAACCUGAGUUUGAUUGAGCAUAUUGUAUAUGAGGUUGUGAUGGUUGCAUAGGUCUUGAAUG
rnacentral:lncRNA from 1 species